rnacentral:rRNA from 1 species
GACGGAGGGGGCUAGCGUUGUUCGGAAUUACUGGGCGUAAAGCGCACGUAGGCGGCCUUUCAAGUCAGAUGUGAAAGCCCCGGGCUUAACUCGGGAACUGCAUUUGAUACUGUUGGGCUUGAGACCGGGAGAGGAUAGCGGAAUUCCCAGUGUAGAGGUGAAAUUCGUAGAUAUUGGGAAGAACACCAGUGGCGAAGGCGGCUAUCUGGACCGGUACUGACGCUGAGGUGCGAAAGCGUGGGGAGCAAACAGG